rnacentral:rRNA from 1 species
CCUACGGGUGGCAGCAGUGAGGAAUAUUGGUCAAUGGACGAGAGUCUGAACCAGCCAAGUAGCGUGAAGGAUGACUGCCCUAUGGGUUGUACACUUCUUUUAUAUGGGAAUAAAAUGUUCCACGUGUGGGAUUUUGUAUGUACCAUAUGAAUAAGGAUCGGCUAACUCCGUGCCAGCCGCCGCGGUAAUACGGAGGAUCCGAGCGUUAUCCGGAUUUAUUGGGUUUAAAGGGAGCGUAGGUGGAUUGUUAAGUCAGUUGUGAAAGUUUGCGGCUCAACCGGAAAAUUGCAGUUGAAACUGGCAGUCUUGAGUACAGUAGAGGUGGGCGGAAUUCGUGGGGUAGCGGUGAAAUGCUUAGAUAUCACGAAGAACUCCGAUUGCGAGGGCAGCUCACUGGACUGCAACUGACACUGAGGCUCGAAAGUGUGGGUAUCAAACAGGAUUAGAUACCCCAGUAGUC